AUUGAACGCUGGCGGGAUGCCUUACACAUGCAAGUCGAACGAGUGGCGGAGGGGUGAGUAAUAUAUCGAAACGUGCGAAGGAGGGGGGGAUAACUAGUCGACAGAAGGGAUAAUACCGCAACAUCAUGGAUGGGCCGAUAGCGGAUUAGCUAGUUGGUGGGGUAAAGGCUCACCAAGGCCACGCUCCGUAGCUGGUUUGAGAGGACGACCAGCCACACUGGGACUGAGACACGGCCCAGACUCCUACGGGAGGCAGCAGUGGGGAAUUUUGGACAAUGGGGGAAACCCUGAUCCAGCCAUCCCGCGUGUAUGAGAAGGCCUUCGGGUUGUAAAGUACUUUUGGCAGGGAAGCGGUAUCUGCAGAAGAAGCACCGGCUAACUCCGUGCCAGCAGCCGCGGUAAUUC
rnacentral:rRNA from 1 species